GGGGGGGGGGCCGGGACCGGGCGUGGGGGCGUGGAGGCCCCGGCUGCGCGGCGCUGCGUUGGGUCUCUGGGCGCCCCGGCUGCGAGUUUUGUCCUGGCUCGGUGGAGGCGCUGGCGGAUCCGGCGCUUCCCCGGGGGCGGGGCGGCCGGGGCGAGCGCCGGGGGUCGGGUUUUGGGGUGCCGGGGCUACAGUGCGGUCUUCGCUCUGGAGGCGAGGACUUCUGGCCCGUGGCGGCACCAGGCGCGCUUGUUCUUUCGGGGUAGCUCAAUCCUGAGUGGAUGUGGGCACUGCGACGUCUGGUCUGGAGGAGAAAGUGGGAGUUGGGGAGACAUCUUACGUGAUCUCCCUCAGGAAGAGGCUUUCGCGGGGUCAAUCUUUAACGGUUGCUCGGAGAAGAGUUUCCAGUGGGGAAAGUUGACGAACCAUGCCAGGCAUAUAAUGUACAUUCGACUGUUGGAUAUGUUGACCCUGAUCAUGGAUUUGCACUUUCAAGAGGCAGCCGUGUGAGGAUUGUCUACCGACUGUAGUGGGAACAAUGCUUGACUCCGUGUAGAAGUUCAAUAAAUAUUUAUUGGAUAAAUGAAUAAAUCCCUUUUUUUCCUUUUGUUUUAACAUUUGCUUUUUAAAAAUAAUGGGAAGAUAAUUAUAACACCUUUCUGCACUUUGGCAGUUUAAAAAAUAUAUAUAAUUUUAGGUAUCUUUUUGGAAAAUAGACUCUAUUU
rnacentral:lncRNA from 10 species